ACACAUGCAAGUCGAACGAGCGAGAGAGAGCUUGCUUUCUCAAGCGAGUGGCGAACGGGUGAGUAACGCGUGAGGAACCUGCCUCAAAGAGGGGGACAACAGUUGGAAACGACUGCUAAUACCGCAUAAGCCCACGGCUCGGCAUCGAGCAGAGGGAAAAGGAGCAAUCCGCUUUGAGAUGGCCUCGCGUCCGAUUAGCUAGUUGGUGAGGUAACGGCCCACCAAGGCGACGAUCGGUAGCCGGACUGAGAGGUUGAACGGCCACAUUGGGACUGAGACACGGCCCAGACUCCUACGGGAGGCAGCAGGGGGGAAUAUUGCACAAUGGGGGAAACCCUGAUGCAGCGACGCCGCGUGGAGGAAGAAGGUCUUCGGAUUGUAAACUCCUGUUGUUGAGGAAGAUAAUGACGGUACUCAACAAGGAAGUGACGGCUAACUACGUGCCAGCAGCCGCGGUAAAACGUAGGUCACAAGCGUUGUCCGGAAUUACUGGGUGUAAAGGGAGCGCAGGCGGGGAGACAAGUUGGAAGUGAAAUCCAUGGGCUCAACCCAUGAACUGCUUUCAAAACUGUUUU
rnacentral:rRNA from 1 species